rnacentral:ribozyme from 1 species
UGCCCAGCAACUCCUAUCCCUACCUCCUCGCGGUACUGGCCGGGGUACGAGUAACCUUGGGGAAGAUCGGGUAACCAACCCGGUGGGAACUUUGGUGGAAUGCUGACAGGGAAGG